UCCAUCCUAACCGAUGACAAAUAUUCUCAUCUUUGGUAUUCUACCCAGUAAAAAGGUAGUUGUAAUCCCUAUUUUUGUUCCCCAAAGAGUUAAUCCUUGAUAUGUUCAUCCUAACCGAUGACGGGUUUCCUUCUUUUUGCGGUCUUCUACCCAGUAACCGGUAGUUGUAAAUCCUGCUUUUUGUCCCCUUCACAUAGUCUAUCCUUGAUAUGUUCACC
rnacentral:lncRNA from 1 species